rnacentral:RNase_P_RNA from 1 species
CUUGGAAGCAAGAUGGUCGCUCCUUAAGAUUUUCUUAAGGGGAGGAAAGUCCGGGCUCCCCAGAAACAAGGUGCCGGAUAACGUCCGGCGAGGGUAACUUUAGGGAAAGUGCCACAGAAAAUAUACCGCCUUAUGUUUUGUAUAUAAGGUAAGGGUGAAAUGGUGUGGUAAGAGCACACCGCAUUCCUGGUAACAGGUAUGGCAGGGUAAACCCCACCUGGAGCAAAACCAAAUAGGGACGAUACUUUAGGGUAACCUAAAACGUGGGUUUCUGCACGAUCGUUCGGGUAGGUUGCGUGAAGGCGUUGGUAACAACGCUUCCAGAUGAAUGACCAUCCAGGCUCAAGCGGGCUGGACAGAACCCGGCUUAUAUGCUUCCAAGCAAA